AGCAUAAUGGUACUCCUGGUGCAGAAAGGAGGGCAAGAUGUUAUGAUCUGGGACCUGAUUAUUUUAACUAGGCCUGGUCCCUGCCUCCUGGGAAAUAGACGUUGUAGGAGAAAAUUGCUGGCAAUGCAGCCGUUCACCUUACUGAGCUUCUUUGGGUGGGGAGGAACUUAGAAACUAUGCAAUAUAUGCAAUACUUCCCCUCCUUUUUGCCUCUGUAGUAGGUUUGCACAAUUUAAGGUCUUACAAGUUAUAUCCAGACCUGGCAUUAAUUCAUCCCGCUCAAGACCUGCUGCCUCGAAGUCCCUGGAGCUAACCUCUUCUCAAAAAGAAGGUCCAUGUGGCCCGCAAAGUCUGCACGAAGCAGCCAUGCAAGUGGAGUAUUGGAUACGGACAGAUUGCAAGUUACAGCCAAAGGCGGUAUGACAGCUUUAUUGCUGCUGCAUGAGCAACAUUGUCUUUGAUUGGGAAACAGGCCGAGGACUUGCAGAAAGUCAAAUGGGGCCUGUGGGUGUUUGGAAAGGCCAGCUAUCAGUUUCCUAUUAUCAUACACUAUGGGAAGGAGUUCUCAUCUUCAUAACCCUGCUCCAGAGAGGUUUGCCCUUCAGGACAAUAGGGUGGCCUCAGGAGAAGGACCUCAGUUGGACACAGUGAAAUGCUGCAUUUGCAAUAGCCAUGGAGCCCCUUGUUGGAACAGAUAUAAGAAUCAGUCAUGUCUUUGUCUUGGAGCUCGGCACCUCUUCUGGAGGAGUCCCCUGAUGAGAGAGGGAGACGGCUGAAUACGUAGUGUGAGAACCAUAUGGAUGGGAAGAAGUAACCUAGACCCAACAUGCAAGUUCAGGGAUUUCAAGACAGGAGGCCAAACACUGAAACAACAUCUGACAAAAAUUUCUCCCAGGGGUGAACAGGCUGCAGGAGAAGUGGAAAUUGCCACUCCUAUUUUGCUAGAUUUAUUUUUGAGAAGACCUUAUACACAGACACUGCCUUCAAGAAGAAACUUUGGAAUUUUAGGGCUAUUUGAAACCAGUGUAUAAGCAUAUGUUGUAUGUCAUGACUAUGAUGCCUAACAUGCAGUUGGAUGAAAAGCACUUGAAGUACCUUUAGACUGAGCCCACAAUAAAGUUCUCUAAUACUUCAGUGGAUGUAGCGCAUGUGAAGCUACUUCAGAAUGAAGCCCAUAAUCCUAGACCUCUUUUCAUGGGAGGCUGAAUAUAUGACGGUACUUACAAAAAACAAAUCACAAUGGAGGACUUGCAACAGUCCAUGGAGUUACACACUUUGCAGGGUUGCUUUUGGGGCAGCACAAGACUAGACAGUAAGACUUAAUUUAGCCUUAUGCAUGUGUACCAGGAUUUGCAUAAUUGAACUUUGCCACAGUUAAAUUCCAAAGUAAAACUAACUUGUGAAUCAAAGAAUAAUUCCAAAGAGUGAGGAGGUUCAUGCAUUCUACUGUUUUACUACUUUGUCCCACAACAAGUUGAAAUAUCAGAUGGACAAUGGAUUUGCAGAGUUACCGUCUCUUCUCGUGGCUCUCUCAAAUUUGGAUUACAAAUCCAAGAAACUGAAACUUGAGGUAACAAAUGUUGGCAUUAAAAAGUGGUAUUUGCUUCUCAGUAA